GGGGGGGGUGUCGCUGGUUGUGGUUUUUGUUAUUUUUGUCCGCCGCUGUAAAAGAAAUACAGGUACCAAACCGACACCUAAUACAGUCUAUGCUGAAGUUAAUGCUGAGAGCCAACAAAUGGAAACGAUCAAAAGUGACUUUAAUCCAUAUGAUGUUCCAGAUCGGAUUCUGCACCAGACACAAGAGACAAAAGAAGAUAAACAAACCACCACAAUCUACCACACAGUGGGGCAACACCUUCAGCCUGAAGUCACAGCUGUAACAGACCAUACCAUUUAUUCACAAGUGUACAAACAACCAUCUAAGAGAUCAGACACCACUUCAUCCAACUGUACCUGAGAUCAAACUAAAAACAAUGGCUGGCUUUCAUGGAGACGAUACACAAGGUCAUUUGUUCAGGUUCAUAAAUACAACUUUUAACCUUUUAAUAGAAAGAAUAUAAUGUACUUUAAUUUUAUUAAUGCACCCAUGAGAUAUAUUAAUUGGACUAAAAAGUGUGUGAUGGCUAUAUGGCUAUGCUCUGUGUGCACUUUAACAAGGAACUUGUAAAUGUCAAGUUAAGUUAAUAGAUAAUGUUCAUGUGAAAAUGCAGGCAGAUCUUUUAGCAGCAUAUGCCUAAAUCUGUUAACAAUGUGUUCAAGUAUUGAGUUAUUUAGUGAUUAUUCAAUUAUUUAAUUAGUAU